rnacentral:rRNA from 1 species
AGCGAACGUUAGCGGCGGGCCUAACACAUGCAAGUCGAACGAGAAAGUUCCCUUCGGGGAAUGAGUACAGUGGCGAACGGGUGAGUAACGCGUGGGAAACCUGCCCUUUUGUGGGGGAUAACAGUUCUAACGAGCUGCUAAUACCGCAUACGACCCCUGGAUCGCAUGGUCCGGGGGUGAAAGGUGGCCUCUCUUUGAAGCUGCCGCAGAAGGAUGGUCCCGCGUCCCCAUUAGCUUGUUGGUGGGGUAAUGGCCUACCAAGGCGACGAUGGGUAGCCGGCCUGAGAGGGUGUCCGGCCACACUGGGCCUGAGAUACGGCCCAGACUCCUACGGGAGGCAGCAGUCGAGAAGCUUCGGCAAUGGGCAAAGCCUGACCGAGCGAUGCCGCGUGAGCGAAGAAGGCCCUAUGGGUUGUAAAGCUCUGUCAGAUUUGGGAAGAAACGCUCCGGGGGUUAAUACCCUCGGGGUUUGACGGUACCAUCAGA